GGGGCUGUGGCGCAGUUGGGAGCGCGCGUGACUGGCAGUCACGAGGUCACGGGUUCGAACCCCGUCAGCUCCACCA
rnacentral:tRNA from 1 species